rnacentral:rRNA from 1 species
CGCCCUUAGAGUUUGAUCCUGGCUCAGGACGAACGCUGGCGGCGUGGAUUAGGCAUGCAAGUCGCGCGACGGACCUUCGGGUUACGGAGCGGCGAACGGGUGAGUAACACGUGAACAAUCUGUCCCUACAUUCCGGAUAAUUGGCCGAAAGGCCUUGUAAUACGGGGGAGGAUGUUCGAGAGGCAUCUCUUGAACAGGGAAGGCGCAAGCCGUGCAGGGAGGGGUUCGCGGCCUAUCAGUUAGUUGGUGGGGUAACGGCCUACCAAGACGACGACGGGUAGCUGGUCUGAGAGGAUGGUCAGCCACAUUGGAACUGAGACACUGUCCAGACUCCUACGGGAGGCUGCAGUCGAGAAUCUUGGGCAAUGCACGAAAGUGUGACCCAGCGACGCCGCGUGGAGGAUGAAGGCCCUUGGGUUGUAAACUCCUUUUAGGGGAGAAGAACGUCCCUUCGGGGACUUGACGGUACCCCCUGAAUAAGCCACGGCUAACUACGUGCCAGCAGCCGCGGUAAUACGUAGGUGGCAAGCGUUGUCCGGAUUUACUGGGCGUAAAGCGUGUGUAGGCGGACCUUUAAGUAGAAAGUGAAAGGUUGGUGCUCAACACCAACAUUGCUCUCUAUACUGGAGGUCUUGAGUGUCGGAGAGGAAGAUGGAACUGCACGUGUAGCGGUGAAAUGCGUUGAGAUGUGCAGGAACACCAAUGGCGAAGGCAAUCUUCUGGACGAAAACUGACGCUGAGACACGAAAGCCAGGUAGCAAA